AGCGAACGCUGGCGGCAGGCUUAACACAUGCAAGUCGAGCGGGCGUAGCAAUACGUCAGCGGCAGACGGGUGAGUAACGCGUGGGAACGUACCUUUUGGUUCGGAACAACACAGGGAAACUUGUGCUAAUACCGGAUAAGCCCUUACGGGGAAAGAUUUAUCGCCGAAAGAUCGGCCCGCGUCUGAUUAGCUAGUUGGUGAGGUAAUGGCUCACCAAGGCGACGAUCAGUAGCUGGUCUGAGAGGAUGAUCAGCCACAUUGGGACUGAGACACGGCCCAAACUCCUACGGGAGGCAGCAGUGGGGAAUAUUGGACAAUGGGCGCAAGCCUGAUCCAGCCAUGCCGCGUGAGUGAUGAAGGCCCUAGGGUUGUAAAGCUCUUUUGUGCGGGAAGAUAAUGACGGUACCGCAAGAAUAAGCCCCGGCUAACUUCGUGCCAGCAGCCGCGGUAAUACGAAGGGGGCUAGCGUUGCUCGGAAUCACUGGGCGUAAAGGGUGCGUAGGCGGGUCUUUAAGUCAGGGGUGAAAUCCUGGAGCUCAACUCCGGAACUGCCUUUGAUACUGAAGAUCUUGAGUUCGGGAGAGGUGAGUGGAACUGCGAGUGUAGAGGUGAAAUUCGUAGAUAUUCGCAAGAACACCAGUGGCGAAGGCGGCUCACUGGCCCGAUACUGACGCUGA
rnacentral:rRNA from 1 species